ACCUUGAUAGCUAAGUAAGUUAGUGACUCUUAAUCACUGGAUGUAAUAAAAUUACUCAAGGUG
rnacentral:tRNA from 1 species